GAUGAACGCUAGCUACAGGCUUAACACAUGCAAGUCGAGGGGAAACGAUAGAGAAAGCUUGCUUUUUCUAGGCGUCGACCGGCGCACGGGUGAGUAACGCGUAUCCAACCUGCCCAUCACUUGGGGAUAACCUUGCGAAAGUAAGACUAAUACCCAAUGACGUCUCUAGAAGACAUCUGAAGGAGAUUAAAGAUUUAUCGGUGAUGGAUGGGGAUGCGUCUGAUUAGCUUGUUGGCGGGGUAACGGCCCACCAAGGCGACGAUCAGUAGGGGUUCUGAGAGGAAGGUCCCCCACAUUGGAACUGAGACACGGUCCAAACUCCUACGGGAGGCAGCAGUGAGGAAUAUUGGUCAAUGGACGAGAGUCUGAACCAGCCAAGUAGCGUGCAGGAAGACGGCCCUAUGGGUUGUAAACUGCUUUUAUAAGGGAAUAAAGUGAGUCUCGUGAGACUUUUUGCAUGUACCUUAUGAAUAAGGACCGGCUAAUUCCGUGCCAGCAGCCG
rnacentral:rRNA from 1 species